rnacentral:rRNA from 1 species
ACUACGGGUGGCAGCAGUGGGGAAUAUUGGGCAAUGGGCGCAAGCCUGACCCAGCAACGCCGCGUGAAGGAAGAAGGCUUUCGGGUUGUAAACUUCUUUUCUCAGGGACGAAGAAAGUGACGGUACCUGAGGAAUAAGCCACGGCUAACUACGUGCCAGCAGCCGCGGUAAUACGUAGGUGGCAAGCGUUAUCCGGAUUUAUUGGGUGUAAAGGGCGUGUAGGCGGGAGCGCAAGUCAGAUGUGAAAACUCAGGGCUCAACCCUGAGCCUGCAUUUGAAACUGUGUUUCUUGAGUGCUGGAGAGGCAAUCGGAAUUCCGGGUGUAGCGGUGAAAUGCGUAGAUAUACGGAGGAACACCAGUGGCGAAGGCGGAUUGCUGGACAGUAACUGACGCUGAGGCGCGAAAGCGUGGGGAGCAAACAGGAUUAGAUACCCUAGUAGUC